GGAUAAUCUUGGAACAGUAGAGACUCUGUGACCUCGAGGGUGCCGUUGUGCCUUAGGAGACAUCCGUGGAGGCCCUCCGUUAACUACUCUUUGAUCUGCUCCAGAGUUAGGACUGAAAUCUGAAGUGUGGGAUCCAGACCUUGAAAUUGGUGGGCCUGAUCCAGACUGGCCCAUCCUUGGUGAAUUUUGUCUUCCACUUCCCCAGGACAGGACAUCCCUGUUUCUCCCGCCAGGUGGAACGUAUUUACUUUCCCUAGUGUUCACACCAUGACCUUCUCGCUCGUUAGCAUUUCUCUGAACAGCAGUGUAUUUUUCUUCUUCUGUUCUUUCAUCAUUUUCCAAGGCAACCCGAGCUUUGUAUUGGGCACUUGAUUCAAUUUCCUCUGCUAAUUGAGUUGCUCUGGCUUCCCGUUUCAAAAACUCUUCUGAAUUAUCUCUUUCUAAUGGCACCGUAUAAGAAGAUAAACUGCUGUCAUAUGUUGAUAUUACACCAUAAUUUUCUUCAUUGUAACGAAACAUGUCAUUGGGAUCCCAUCCAUUAGAAACAUCUGUCUCCAGUGCCUCAAGCUCCUCAGUAGCGCUGGUCUCUCCUCCAUCCCACGGCUCA
rnacentral:lncRNA from 1 species